CGGGGUGUGGCGCAGUUGGUUAGCGUGCUAGACUGGGGGUCUAGAGGUCGCGAGUUCGAGUCUCGCCACUCCGAC
rnacentral:tRNA from 1 species